rnacentral:rRNA from 1 species
AUGUUUUGGCUUGCAUAUGCUCUCGUUUUUCUCGGAUGCCUUGGCCUGCCUCCGGCUGAUGCUGCCGUUGUCGAGCACACAUUCUCUGUGGGCAACCUGACGAUCGAUCGGGUGGGGCAGCGUCAGGUAAUCACGGCGGUGAACGGGCAGUUCCCUGGGCCCAUGCUGGAGGCUCGCGACGGCGACGCCGUCGUGGUGCACGUCGUCAACUACUCCCCCUACAACAUCACCAUCCACUGGCAUGGCGUCCUCCAGCGCCUCUCCGGCUGGGCCGACGGCCCCAGCAUGGUGUCGCAGUGCCCCAUCCGCCCCGGCGGCGCCACCUACACCUACCGCUUCAACGUCACCGGCCAGGAAGGCACGCUCUGGUGGCACGCCCACGUCUCCUUCCUCCGCGCCACAGUCUACGGCGCGCUCCUCAUCCGUCCUGGCCCCGACGAACCGCACUACCCCUUUCCCACGCCGUACGGCGAGGCCACUCUCCUCCUCGGCGAGUGGUGGAACGCCAGCGUCGUUGACGUCGAGAGGCAAGCCAUGCUCACCGGCGGCCCGCCCAACAACUCCGUCGCGCUCACCAUCAACGGCAUGCCCAGCGGCUACGAGCUGGCCGUACGGCACGGCGAGAUCUACUUGCUCCGCCUCGUCAACGCUGCGCUCAGUUACCAGCUCUUCUUCAAGGUCGCGGGCCACGCUUUCACGGUCGUCGCCGCCGACGCCUGCUACACCGACCCUUACGACACGGACGUCAUCGUCCUCGCUCCGGGCCAGACGGUGGACGCUCUGAUGCACGCCAACGCCUCCCCGGGCCGCUACUACAUGGCCGCCCAGGUCUACCAGAGCGUGGCCAACGCCACCUACACCACCACCACCACGGGGCUCCUCCGGUACGAGCAUGAUGCGGCGGCAGCAGCUGGUAUGAGUAUGAUCAUGAUGCCGAGCAUGCCGGCGUUCAAAGACAGCGCGACGGCCCAAGAUUUCUACGGCAGACUGACCGGCCUGCUGCGAGACGGCAAACCGACGGUUCCCCUGCACGUGGACACGCGGAUGCUGGUGACCUACGGGCUGGGCAUCGCGCCGUGCAUGCCAACGCAGACGCUGUGCAACCGGACGCGCGGCUCCGUGGCGGCCAGCAUGAACAACGUGUCGUUCCAGCUCCCCAAGGCCAUGUCGCUGCUGGAGGCGCGCAUGAGGGGGAACGCCGACGGGGUGUACACCCGCGACUUCCCCGACAGGCCGCCGGUGAUGUUCGACUUCACCAACGGCUCCAUGAGCAGCAACAGGAGCGUGAUGCUGACGUCCAAGGGCACCAGAGUGAGGAGGCUGCGGUUCAACACCACGGUGGAGGUGGUGCUGCAGAACACGGCCAUCCUGGGGUCCGAGAACCACCCGCUGCACCUGCACGGCUUCAACUUCUACGUGCUCGCGCAGGGCGCCGGCAACUUCAACGCACGCACCGCCGUGCGCUCCUACAACCUCGUCAACCCACAGCAGCGCAACACCGUCGCCGUGCCGGCCGGUGGGUGGGCGGUCAUCCGCUUCACGGCCGACAACCCAGGUGUGUGGGUCAUGCACUGCCACUUGGACGCUCAUUUGCCUUUCGGGCUAGCCAUGGCGUUCGAGGUGGAUGACGGCCCAACCCCGGACACCGUUCUUCCUCCGCCGCCGCCGGACUACCCCCAGUGUUAG